AUACGGAGGAUCCAAGCGUUAUCCGGAUUUAUUGGGUUUAAAGGGAGCGUAGGUGGGAUAUUAAGUCAGCUGUGAAAGUUUGGGGCUCAACCUUAAAAUUGCAGUUGAUACUGGUUUCCUUGAGUACGGUACAGGUGGGCGGAAUUCGUGGUGUAGCGGUGAAAUGCUUAGAUAUCACGAAGAACUCCGAUCGCGAAGGCAGCUCACCGGGCCGGAACUGACACUGAUGCUCGAAAGUGCGGGUAUCAAACAGGAUUAGAUACCCUGGUAGUCCGCACAGUAAACGAUGAAUACUCGCUGUUUGCGAUACACGGUAAGCGGCCAAGCGAAAGCGUUAAGUAUUCCACCUGGGGAGUACGCCGGCAACGGUGAAACUCAAAGGAAUUGACGGGG
rnacentral:rRNA from 1 species